AGCCACAUGUAGCUGCUAGCUAUGGGACUUAGACAGCAGAGGUGUGGAAAGUCCACACAUUCUUCCACUCAAAGGAUAUUUCCCUGCCUUUUUGAAGAUAAUGACCACUCAUCUGAGUACACAGUUUGCAGAAUCCCUUUGCAGUGGCCCAUGUGGGCCAAGGUAGUAGAGCAUAAUAGAUCUCUAGAAGGCCACUAGAAACAGCAGGUGAUGGCCCCAGCUCCUGUCCCUCCAUGCAGAACAUCUGUCAACACCUAUGGACAUCUUUUCUUCCCCCAUUCCUAUGAAUGUUGCUCAGUUGUUACAUGGUGUGGACAAAUGCUGCUGGCUGGUGGCCUGGACACACUGGACAAGCUUGGCCUUCGGUAAAACAAAGACUAGAUUCAAUUACUCAAACUGAAAUGGGAAUGCUUGGACGAACAAGCCUGCCAGGAAGUCCCAUUGGAGUUAGCAGGUUGUCCCUCAGGAUUCUGCAUGUCUGGAUUUGCAAUCGUGGAAACUGCCAAAGGUCCAGGGUUCUGGGUGGCAGAACCUGGCCUCUGCCACUAUUGCCCAAGGUAGGGACUCUGGUCCCUUCACGUCCUGUGCUGCUGUCAAAGGUUUGUGUGCAUUGGCUUGUUUUUUUUUUUGUUUUGUUUUUUUAAAUGUAAUUGCUUACACGUGUGUUUGAUCAUGCUCAAGUGGCCUUUCUGUGGAAACAGCGGCCAAGCUACACCUAGAAGUCACUGAAGAAAGUUCUAAGAACUCCUGGUUGGUAUGAGGCUAGAGAGAGAGAGAAAGAGAGAAAAGAAA